rnacentral:rRNA from 1 species
UACGGGGGGAGCAAGCGUUGUUCGGAUUUACUGGGCGUAAAGGGCGCGUAGGCGGCCACCGCAAGUCAGUUGUGAAAUCUCUGGGCUUAACCCAGAAAGGUCAACUGAUACUGCGGGGCUAGAGUGCAGAAGGGGCAACUGGAAUUCUCGGUGUAGCGGUGAAAUGCGUAGAUAUCGAGAGGAACACCUGCGGCGAAGGCGGGUUGCUGGGCUGACACUGACGCUGAUGUGCGAAAGCCAGGGGAGCAAACGGG